rnacentral:lncRNA from 1 species
GAUAGAUAUAUAGACACAACACAAACGCAUAUAGAAAAGGAAGUUGAGGUACGUUUGGUGUUUGGUGACUUGUGUUAAUGGAAGGACAAAUAUGGCCAUGAAAAUUAUGGUGUGUUCAUUUCAGGAAUCCAGAAAUGAUGGGCCAAGCAAAAUUAAAGAAAAUAAAAUGGCAUUUGACAGAAUAUUUAAGGGGCCAAGAGGAUAAUUUUUUUUUUCUUACAAAUUUAAUUUUAUUUUCUCAUCUCGUAUUCUUAAAGUAUAUGUCUAUCUCUCUCUUUAUUCUAGUCCUCAAUACCA